rnacentral:rRNA from 1 species
UGGGGAAUUUUGGACAACGGGGGAAACCCUGAUCCAGCCAUGCCGCGUGAGUGAAGAAGGCCUUCGGGUUGUAAAGCUCUUUCAGCCGGAACGAAACGGUUACGGUUAAUACCCGUGACUACUGACGGUACCGGACGAAGAAGCACCGGCUAACUAUGUGCCAGCAGCCGCGGUAAUACGUAGGGUGCGAGCGUUAAUCGGAAUUACUGGGCGUAAAGCGUGCGCAGGCGGUUUUGUAAGUCAGAUGUGAAAUCCCCGGGCUUAACCUGGGAACUGCGUUUGAAACUACAAGGCUAGAGUGUGGCAGAGGGGGGUGGAAUUCCACGUGUAGUAGUGAAAUGCGUAGAGAUGUGGAGGAACACCGAUGGCGAAGGCAGCCCCCUGGGUUAACACUGACGCUCAGGCACGAAAGCAUGGGGAGCAAAC